UACGUAAGUGGCAAGCGUUAUCCGGAUUUAUUGGGCGUAAAGAGAACGCAGGCGGUCUUUUAAGUCUGAUGUGAAAGCCUUCGGCUUAACCGGAGUAGUGCAUAGGAAACUGGGAGACUUGAGUGCAGAAGAGGAGAGUGGAACUCCAUGUGUAGCGGUGAAAUGCGUAGAUAUAUGGAAGAACACCAGUGGCGAAAGCGGCUCUCUGGUCUGUAACUGACGCUGAGGUUCGAAAGCGUGGGUAGCAAACAGG
rnacentral:rRNA from 1 species